GACUGGAUAGCCUAGUGGUUAAGGUGUCACAUAAGAGUUGUGUCCCACUUGAGGGUCCUUGAUUUGGAUCCGAGUCUAGUCA
rnacentral:tRNA from 1 species